AUUGAACGCUGGCGGCAGGCCUAACACAUGCAAGUCGAACGAGUGGCGGACGGGUGAGUUAUGUAUGGGAAAGUGCCUGGUGGAGGGGGAUAACUAAUGGAAACGGUAGCUAAUACCGCAUACAAUCAGAUGGGCCCAGAUGGGAUUAGCUUGUUGGUGGGGUAACGGCUCACCAAGGCGACGAUCCCUAGCUGGUCUGAGAGGAUGAACAGCCACACUGGAACUGAGACACGGUCCAGACUCCUACGGGAGGCAGCAGUGGGGAAUAUUGGACAAUGGGCGCAAGCCUGAUGCAGCCAUGCCGCGUGUAUGAAGAAGGCCUUCGGGUUGUAAAGUACUUUCAGCGGGGAGGCGUUACCCGCAGAAUAAGCACCGGCUAACUCCGUGCCAGCCGCCGCGGUAAUUC
rnacentral:rRNA from 1 species